rnacentral:lncRNA from 1 species
UGAUCUAAAUCUUUUAGAUCAUGUUGAUGCGGCUAUCUUAAUGCCCUAACCCUAGGGGGUGACCCCCUGUAGCACCCACCAAGGGGUGACCCCUAGAAAGAAAGAGGAAGAGAUUGCAGAAGAGGGAAAGAGAGGAGAAUAGGGGUCUCUAUUUUUGUUAGGUGUUCUAGAUACAAGGGUAUAGUAGACUAGAGAAAAUCGUACCCAGUGUCUAGAAUAUGGGUACAUACUACCGUUGAUGUGCAAGUCUGUGGCUUAAAGCUACGUGAUCUAAAUCUUUUAGAUCAUGUUGAUGCGGCUAUCUUAAUGCCCUAACCCUAGGGGGUGACCCCCUGUAGCACCCACCAAGGGGUGACCCCUAGAAAGAAAGAGGAAGAGAUUGCAGAAGAGGGAAAGAGAGGAGAAUAGGGGUCUCUAUUUUUGUUAGGUGUUCUAGAUACAAGGGUAUAGUAGGAAAUUUAUUAGUCACAUUUUACUUAUUUGUUGACUUGAGGUUGAAUAUGAAGAUUAGCACGAGGGAGCAUGCAGAUUACAAUCAUGCUAGUUUUAAGAAAGUGAUUCCAGCUUGAGCAGUUUAGUAACCAAUCAUUUUGCUAUUCGAAUUUGUUCCAAACUGUGGAAUCAUCAAUCAUAGCAACCCAGAGUCACAUUCCCACUUCCCCUCGAGAUUCCUGUCAAUUAAACUUGAAACCCCUAUUCUUCCUCUCUCCCUCUCUUUCUCUCCUAUGAUCUCUCCUCCAAUCACGUUUUCGCUCCAUACUCAGACACCAUGGCUACCCCAAGCUACCGUAAGGCUUAAAGCUCUGAGCAGAAUAGAGUGGACAGAACAUUGCCUGAGGACAAGGUGAUGUACUAAAGGUGCUUUGGAGUAGACUAAGGCUGUGUUUGGAUCAAGGGUUAGGUGGAGGAAAAAGAAAAGGAAAUGAAAAAGUUUGAGGAUCCAAUUGUUCGGACCGUUAGAUUCUCUAACCUUUUCCCAUUCCUUUUUAUUUUCCCUACACCAAAUCCUUACACCAAACACAGCAUAAAAGGGUAAACUAUUCACUUGACUAAGAAACUUGAAUACAUUUCGAGAUUUCUUCUUGAAUUAAAAUCUGAAUUAUCCAAACACUUGAAUAGAAUUACGUAUUAGUUCCUGUGUUGGAUUUCUGGUAAUGAGAUAACCAUUCUCUUUCUCUCUCUCUCUCUCUCUCUCGAUCCCAUAGACUUAUGCUAACCAAUCAUUAACCUUCAAUAAACUUCAAUUCUUCCGAACAUCAACAAAAACAAAGAUGAAAC